rnacentral:misc_RNA from 1 species
GAUGAAGAACGUAGCGAAAUGCGAUAAGUAGUGUGAAUUGCAGAAUUCAGUGAAUCAUCGAAUCUUUGAACGCACAUUGCGCCCCAUGGUAUUCCGUGGGGCAUGCCUGUUCGAGCGUCAUUUACCCCCUCAAGCUCCGCUUGGUGUUGGGCGUCUGUCCCGCUUCGCGCGCGGACUCGCCCCAAAGGUAUUGGCAGCGGUCGUGCCAGCUUCUCGCGCAGCACAUUGCGCUUCUCGAGGCACCGGUGGGCCCGCGUCCAUCAAGCUCACCCCCCCAGUUUGACCUCGGAUCAGGUAGGGAUACCCGCUGAACUUAAGCAUAUCAAUAAGCGGUGGA